GUUAGGAAUAUUGGACAAUGGGCGCAAGCCUGAUCCAGCCAUGCCGCGUGAGUGAUGAAGGCCUUCGGGUUGUAAAGCUCUUUAGCCGAUGAUUAUAAUGACUGUAGUCGGAAAAUAAGCCCCGGCUAACUUCGUGCCAGCAGCCGCGGUAAUACGAAGGGGGCGAGCGUUAUUCGGAAUCACUGGGCGUAAAGCGUGCGUAGGCGGCUUUGCAAGUUGGGAGUGAAAGCCCAGGGCUCAACCCUGGAAUUGCUCUCAAAACUGCAAGGCUCGAAUUCGGGAGAGGAUAGCGGAAUUGUCAGUGUAGCAGUGAAAUGCGUAGAUAUUGACAGGAACACCAGUGGCGUAAGCGGCUAUCUGGACCGAUAUUGACGCUGAGGCACGAAAGCGUGGGGAUCAAACAGGAUUAGAAACCUUUGUAGUCC
rnacentral:rRNA from 1 species